GAUGAACGCUGGCGGCGUGCCUAAUACAUGCAAGUCGAGCGAACAGACGAGGAGCUUGCUCCUUUGACGUUAGCGGCGGACGGGUGAGUAACACGUGGAUAACCUACCUAUAAGACUGGGAUAACUUCGGGACACCGGAGCUAAUACCGGAUAAUAUAUUGCACCGCAUGGUUCACUAGUGAAAGACGGUUUUGCUGUCACUUCUAGAUGGAUCCGCGCCGCAUUAGCUAGUUGGUAAGGUAACGGCUUACCAAGGCAACGAUGCGUAGCCGACCUGAGAGGGUGAUCGGCCACACGGGAACUGAGACACGGUCCAGACGCCUACGAGAGGCAGCAGUAGGGAAUCGUCCGCAAUGGGCGAAAGCCUGACGGAGCAACGCCGAGUGAGUGAUGAAGGUCUUCGGAUCGUAAAACUCUGUUAUUAGGGAAGAACAAAUGUGUAAGUAACUAUGCACGUCUUGACGGUACCUGAUCAGAAAGCCACGGCUAACUACGUG
rnacentral:rRNA from 1 species